UCCGGUUUAACACCGGCAGUCUCCUCAGAGUGCCCAACUUAAUGCUGGCAACUAAGGACAAGGGUUGCGCUCGUUGCGGGACUUAACCCAACAUCUUACGACACGAGCUGACGACAGCCAUGCAGCACCUAUCUCCAUGUCCCCGAAGGGAAAGCCGCAUCUCUGCGGUUGUCAUGGGAUGUUAAGCCCAGGUAAGGUUCUGCGCGUUGCUUCGAAUUAAACCACAUACUCCACCGCUUGUGCGGGCCCCCGUCAAUUCCUUUGAGUUUUAGUCUUGCGACCGUACUCCCCAGGCGGGAUACUUAAUGCGUGAGCUACGGUACCCAGGAGGUUAACAUCCCGGACACCUAGUAUCCAUAGUUUACGGCGUGGACUAC
rnacentral:misc_RNA from 1 species